UGCGCGUCACACAGAUCCAGGAAAAACAAAACAAAGCCCCCGUUUUCUCGAUCGCAGAAGACCCAUCAUAGAUUUCUUUUUUGCACACGCAGCGCUUCCUCCGGAGUUGGCAUUCGCACUUUGGAGGACAUAUCUCCCAUUCUACUUUGGAUAAAGUGCCUCCAAACCAAACGCACGGAAGUCCGCGCGA